rnacentral:rRNA from 1 species
GCUGGCGGCAGGCCUAACACAUGCAAGUCGAGCGGCCGUAGCAAUACGGCAGCGGCAGACGGGAGAGUAACACGUGGGAACGCGCCCUUCGGUUCGGGAUAACUCAGGGAAACUUGGGCUAAUACCGGAUACGCCCUUACGGGGAAAGAUUUAUUGCCGAAGGAACGGCCCGCGUCCGAUUAGCUUGUUGGUGAGGUAACGGCUCACCAAGGCGACGAUCGGUAGCUGGUCUGAGAGGAUGACCAGCCUCACUGGGACUGAGACACGGCCCAGACUCCUACGGGAGGCAGCAGUGGGGAAUAUUGGACAAUGGGCGCAAGCCUGAUCCAGCCAUGCCGCGUGGGUGAUGAAGGCCCUAGGGUUGUAAAGCCCUUUCGGCGGGGAAGAUAAUGACGGUACCCGCAGAAGAAGCCCCGGCUAACUUCGUGCCAGCAGCCGCGGUAAUACGAAGGGGGCUAGCGUUGCUCGGAAUUACUGGGCGUAAAGCGCACGUAGGCGGCUUUCUAAGUCGGGGGUGAAAUCCUGGAGCUCAACUCCAGAACUGCCUUCGAUACUGGAGAGCUCGAGUCCGGGAGAGGUGA